UUAAAUUAUUCACCGAUGUUUGUUCGAGUUUUCCUGUACAAUACGAAUUUUGAUGUCAAACUAUUAACAACUCCUGAAGCUGAAGCCACUGCAGCUUUGAGCAUCAAAGGUGAAAUUAGCUUUGAGGAGAAAGACAAGCUGACGGUUUUACAAGAUGAUAUAAAAGAGCUGGGAAAAGCUGUCACACGAAACUAUGAACAG